rnacentral:rRNA from 1 species
GUUCAUACAUUUUAAAUGUGAGACUGCGGACGGCUCAGUAUAUCAGUUAUAAUCUGCUCGAUUGUUAAGGUUAUUGGAUAACCGUGGGAAAUCUAGAGCUAAUACAUGCACCCGCACACAUCCGUAAAAAGGUGUGUGUUGCAUUUAUUGGAUAUACCAACCGUGAGUUAAUUCUCACGAGGUGAAUCUAGAUAACUUUGCAGAUCGUAUGGCCUUGUGCUGACGACGUUUCGACUGAAUUUCUGCCCUAUCAACCAUGGCGACAGUGUAGUGAACUGCCGCGGUUUUGACGGGUACGGGGGAUAAGGGUUCGAUCCCGGAGAGGGAGCCUGAGAAACGGCUACCACAUCCAAGGAAGGCAGCAGGCGCGCAAAUUACCCAAUCCAGACGAUGGGAGGUGGUGACGAAAAGUACCGAAUGACGGCUUAUGGUCGUUAGUUUGGAAUGAAAACAAUUUAAGUAAUUGAUUUGAGCAACUACUGGAGGGCAAGUCUGGUGCCAGCAGCCGCGGUAACUCCAGCUCCAGUAGCGUAUCUCAAAGUUGCUGCGCUUAAAACGCUCGUAGUUGGAUCACACACUCGUGACCGGUGGACGGUGUGGCUAUCACAGUAAACCAUCAAAGGUUGGACAGUACGUUCUCGUGCUGAUUCAGCCUUGGUGGAGUGUGGCCUAUCAGUCAUUAGCCAGUUGCGAGUAAUUUCACGUGGGGGUGACAUUUGACCUUUAGUGCGUCGGUUGUUGCGUCCCACGGGGUGUGCCUUGAGUAAAUCAGAGUGCUCAAAGCAGGCGGAUGCCUGAAUGUUUUUAGCAUGGAACGAACAAUAGUGUAUGGUGUGUAUUGAUUCUGGCGUUCGCCGCAAGGUGGCGCUACAGUACACGACACCGACUACCAAUUACGGAUGUUGGUUCCGUAUUGGGGUACAGAUUAAGAGGAGCGGUUGGGGGUAUUGGUAUUUGGCAGCGAGAGGUGAAAUUCUUGGACCUCCCAAAGACUAACAAAUGCGAAGGCAUCUACCCAGACCGCGUCCAUUAAUCAAGAACGAUAGUGAGAGGUUCGAAGACGAUCAGAUACCGUCCUAGUUCUCGCUGUAAACUAUGCCGACCCGGGAUCAGCUUGGGGCGUUAUUCCAAGCUUGAGGUUGGUCCCCCAGGGAAACCUAAAGUUUUUCGGUUGCGGGGGGAGUAUGGUCGCAAGGCUGAAACUUAAAGGAAUUGACGGAAGGGCACCACCAGGGGUGGAGCCUGCGGCUUAAUUUGACUCAACACGGGAAAACUUACCUGGUCAGGACAUCAAAAGGAUAGACAGACUUCAGAUCUUUCUUGAUAUGAUGAUUGGUGGUGCAUGGCCGUUCUUAGUUCGUGGAGUGAUUUGUCUGAUUAAUUUCGUUAACGAGCGAGACCACGAUCUCCACUUGGUGAGUUUGGAAAGACGCGGCCAUGCUUGGGAUUAGCUUGCUGGUCCCUUGUAUAGGCUGUUGUUUUAGGCAGUAUCGAAGUUGAGUCUUGGAUCGGGGCGUGGCAACACGUUUCGGUUUAGGGCGUUGAUGACGAUGCUCCUCCAAAAAUUGCAGCGCGGUGCUUGCAAAGGUGCCGUACUGUACCAUGGAGAGACCACGGAAUAUAUAACAAAAUCCGAGGAAGUGUGGCUAUAACAGGUCUGUGAUGCCCUUAGAUGUUCAGGGCUGCACGCGCGCUACAAUGGCAACGACAGCGAGCCUCUGGAUCGAAAGAUUCGGGUAAUCUUGCAAUCGUUGCCGUGAUGGGGAUCGACGUUUGUAAAUACGUCGUGAAAGAGGAAUCCCUAGUACGUGCAAUUCAUGAGAUUGCGCGGAUUUAGUCCCUGCCCUUUGUACACACCGCCCGUCGCUACUACCGAGUGAAUGGUGUCAUGAUGCCUUGGGAGCGGACGUUGCUCUGGGUUCUGCCCGGAGCGAUGCUGCGAUCAG